rnacentral:rRNA from 1 species
CUUAAACGACUCUCGGCAACGGAUAUCUCGGCUCUUGCAUCGAUGAAGAACGUAGCGAAAUGCGAUACUUGGUGUGAAUUGCAGAAUCCCGUGAACCAUCGAGUCUUUGAACGCAAGUUGCGCCCGAGGCCAUUUAGGUUGAGGGCACGUCUGCCUGGGCGUCACACACAGCGUCGUUCCCAAC